rnacentral:rRNA from 1 species
UGGUAAUGCCGGAUGCUCCGACUCCUCGCAUGGGGUGUCGGGAAAGAUUUCAUCGGUAUGGGAUGGGGUCGCGUCCUAUCAGGUAGUCGGCGGGGUAACGGCCCACCGAGCCUACGACGGGUAGCCGGCCUGAGAGGGCGACCGGCCACAUUGGGACUGAGAUACGGCCCAGACUCCUACGGGAGGCAGCAGUGGGGAAUAUUGCACAAUGGGCGCAAGCCUGAUGCAGCGACGCCGCGUGCGGGAUGACGGCCUUCGGGUUGUAAACCGCUUUUGAUCGGGAGCAAGCCUUCGGGUGAGUGUACCUUUCGAAUAAGCACCGGCUAACUACGUGCCAGCAGCCGCGGUAAUACGUAGGGUGCAAGCGUUAUCCGGAAUUAUUGGGCGUAAAGGGCUCGUAGGCGGUUCGUCGCGUCCGGUGUGAAAGUCCAUCGCUUAACGGUGGAUCUGCGCCGGGUACGGGCGGGCUGGAGUGCGGUAGGGGAGACUGGAAUUCCCGGUGUAACGGUGGAAUGUGUAGAUAUCGGG